GACGAACGCUGGCGGCGUGCUUAACACAUGCAAGUCGAGCGGAAAGGCCCUUCGGGGUACUCGAGCGGCGAACGGGUGAGUAACACGUGAGUAACCUGCCCCAGACUUUGGGAUAACCCUCGGAAACGGGGGCUAAUACCGGAUACGACACAGCUUCGCAUGGGGUCUGUGUGGAAAGUUUUUCGGUUUGGGAUGGGCUCGCGGCCUAUCAGCUUGUUGGUGGGGUGAUGGCCUACCAAGGCGACGACGGGUAGCCGGCCUGAGAGGGCGACCGGCCACACUGGGACUGAGACACGGCCCAGACUCCUACGGGAGGCAGCAGUGGGGAAUAUUGCACAAUGGGCGGAAGCCUGAUGCAGCGACGCCGCGUGAGGGACGACGGCCUUCGGGUUGUAAACCUCUUUCAGCAGGGACGAAGCGUAAGUGACGGUACCUGCAGAAGAAGCGCCGGCCAACUACGUG
rnacentral:rRNA from 1 species